rnacentral:rRNA from 1 species
UACGUAGGGGGCUAGCGUUGUCCGGAUUUAUUGGGCGUAAAGAGCGUGUAGGCGGCCAGGUAGGUCUGGUGUGAAAACUCGAGGCUUAACCUCGAGAUGUCAUCGGAAACCAUCUGGCUAGAGUCCGGAAGAGGAGAGUGGAAUUCCUGGUGUAGCGGUGAAAUGCGCAGAUAUCAGGAAGAACACCAACGGCGAAGGCAGCUCGCUGGGACGGUACUGACGCUGAGGAGCGAAAGCGUGGGUAGCAAACAGG